rnacentral:rRNA from 1 species
UGGGGAAUAUUGCACAAUGGGCGCAAGCCUGAUGCAGCAACGCCGCGUGAGGGACGACGGCCUUCGGGUUGUAAACCUCUUUUGGCAGGGAAGAAGCGAAAGUGACGGUACCUGCAGAAAAAGCACCGGCUAACUACGUGCCAGCAGCCGCGGUGAUACGUAGGGUGCAAGCGUUGUCCGGAAUUAUUGGGCGUAAAGAGCUCGUAGGCGGUUUGUCGCGUCUGCUGUGAAAACCCGAGGCUCAACCUCGGGCCUGCAGUGGUUACGGGCAAACUAGAGUGCGGUAGGGGAGAUUGGAAUUCCUGGUGUAGCGGUGGAAUGCGCAGAUAUCAGGAGGAACACCGAUGGCGAAGGCAGAUCUCUGGGCCGUAACUGACGCUGAGGAGCGAAAGCAUGGGGAGCGAACA